rnacentral:rRNA from 1 species
UACGUAGGGGGCAAGCGUUGUCCGGAAUCAUUGGGCGUAAAGCGCGUGUAGGCGGUCCGGUAAGUCGGCUGUGAAAGUCCAGGGCUCAACCCUGGGAUGCCGGUCGAUACUGCCGGACUAGAGUUCGGAAGAGGCGAGUGGAAUUCCCGGUGUAGCGGUGAAAUGCGCAGAUAUCGGGAGGAACACCAAUGGCGAAGGCAGCUCGCUGGGACGUUACUGACGCUGAGACGCGAAAGCGUGGGGAGCAAACAGGG